rnacentral:lncRNA from 1 species
CGAUGUUGCAGUCUGCCUGACUAGUUGUACUACCCAUAUCUCCUUGAGCUUCCAUUUGCAUUUCCCUGAUGACUAACAUGUGAACAUCAAGUCCCAUCCAUUCUCUACUUACUGGGACCUGUGCCCCUCUGGGCAAGGAGGUGCACGCAAUGAGACUGCGCAGCUCAGUGACUGUGGCCCUGAAGCUGCAUGAAGAUGAGUGCCUGUCCCUAUCAGAUGAUGCAGACACGGCCAGGCCCAGAUGGAAGGCUGCAGCCCCAACAUGAACACUCAGGACACUUACAGACCAACGUCCAAGAGCUCAGGCUGCACAAGCAGCCCUGAGGGUCCAGCGCCAGUGUUCAGUGGGCAACGCCGGGGCUUUCUGGCAGAAGAAAAGAAGACGGUGCGGUUUGUGUUGGGGAGAUCACUUGAAGAAUGUGCGGGAAGGUUGCUG